rnacentral:lncRNA from 1 species
CUCACACAUACAUACUCACACAUGCACACAUACUCCCAUGGACACACAGAACCUGGCACUGGAGGAAGUACCAGCUCUGUUUCCCUUCAAGGUGACUAUUGGACUCAGACUUUGCCUUGGGUGAACCUAGGGUUCCUGGUUUAGGGGAGUCUCCCCAACAGGGAGGGCACAUACUUUUAAGAAAAUCACAAGCCAAGGGAAAAUUCUAAUAUAAAUUAGAAGUUUUCUCUUUUUUUCCAUUCAUUUAUUUAGCUCAUAAAUAAAGUCAUGCACAAUUAUGGUACACAAUACAGUAUGUACAAGUUUUCUUUUCUUAAUGGUAUUAAAAUAUACAUAUAAAGCUAACACCAUUUUUUUUUAAGAUUUUAUUUAUUUAUUAUGUAUACAACAUUCUGCUUCCAUGUAUAUCUGCACACCAGAAGAGGGCACCAGAUCUCAUAACGGAUGGUUGUGAGCCACUAUGUGGUUGCUGGGAAUUGAACUCAGGACCCCUGGAAGAGCAGUCGGUGCUCUUAACCUCUGAGCCAUCUUUCCAGCUGACUAAGACCAUUUUUUAAAACAGAAAAAUAUGAAUUUCCCUAACUAUAUUAGAAUAAAACAAACAAAACAAAACAGGACUACAGCCUGGAGAGGCAGGUCAGUAAUUAAAGCACUUGCCACACAAGCAAGCAACAGGAAUGGAAUCCAGAUUCCAGAAGCCAAGCAAAAGCCAUCUCAGGUGUGAUGACCACCUGGAUUCAGCCUUGGGAGGGGAACCUGGAGAAAACUGGUUAUCGAGACCAGCCAUAUCUGUUAGCUCUAGGUUUGAUUGAGAGAUCCUGCCUCAAAAAAGGUGAUGGAACAAUAAAGAUUCUGAGUAAUAGCACAAUCUAACAAGUGUAGUCAAAGAAGUUCCUUCAUUAACUUAGAGGAAAAAGCAGAAAAAAACAAACCAAGCAAUAAAAAGGAUCUAUCUUUACUAAUCUGGGAUUUUAGUCUAUUCCAACUUCAAGUAGGCAUGGUGGCUCAUUCCUGUAAUCCCAGGAGUCAGGAUGCGGGCUGGAGGAUUUCAGCAAAUACCAGGCCAGCUGGGACUACACAGAGAGACUCUGUCUCAAAACAAAAUAAACUAAAGAAAGAAAUUUAAGAAGGAAAAUGAUAUGAUCAUUUUAAUAGAAAUGAAAAAGCACUCUGUAAGAUUCAGUAUGUACUCAUUUCCUAGAAAACCAGGAAUACACACACACACACACACACACACACACACACACACACACUCACACACACACACACUCACACACACUCACACACUCACACACACACACACUCACACACACACUCACACACACACACACACACACACACACACACUCACACACACACUCACACACACACACUCACACACACACACACACUCACACUCACACACACACACACACUCACACACACACACACUCACACACACACUCACACACACACACACACUCUCACACACACACACUCACACACACACUCACACACACACUCACAC